rnacentral:misc_RNA from 1 species
AAAAAGCGAAAAAGUAGUGUGUGACUGCAAGGGCGUGAGGGCGAAGGCGAAAGGCGCCCUCCCCCGAAGUCGCUCUGGCGGUGCUAGGCGUGCUUGAUGGGCGUGCGAGGGCGCGGUGUAGCGCGGGCGUCGUGCGGCGGGCGUGGCGGCGGGCACAGCUGGCGCCAGAAGUGGGCAGCCGGGACAGUCGCCAACCACCGGGCGAACGUGGCACAGGCUCGCGGCGCUGUGGUGUGGUGGUGCAGUAGUGCGGUGGUGUGUGUGUGCGUGUGCGCGUGUGCAUGGCGGCCUCAUGACUAACAUGCCGGCCAUGGUGCACUGAUCAUGCAGUAUUGUGAGACGACAGUGAAUGUAGUGCCGUGACGAGUGAUGGCUCCCAGGGCUCGGGUGGUGGGGGCGCCGCUCCCCUGGUGCUGCCCGGGGGACCGUCAUCAUCAGCACAGUGACACCAGGCAGGGGAACUGCUCGUCGGCGCCUCCUGCACCGUGAGGCGAGGCGGAGGGCGACAUGGAGGGCAGGAGGCAGCGCGAGCGGAGGGAAGGGAGGGAGGGACAAAAGGACAAAAAAGAAGGAAAAGACACUAAGACAGGCCAGGCGGCCAAGACGACGACGGCCAAGCUGAAGGAGCGAUGGCUGCUCACCAGGAAGACGUGGCGCUACAUGAGCGACGCGGGCAAGAAGCUCUUCCCCGAGGGCGUCAACCCGCAGAAGGCCGAGGACAUCCCCAAGGUCGAGGAGCACUUCCAGAAGAUCAACAACCGAAACCGCGACUUCAUCUUGGUGCCGAAGCCGCCGGACACGCCGCGCUCCGGCCGCAGGCGCAGGAAGCGGCUCACGAGCACCACCUCCGACACGACGGACACGGCCGACGACUAUGGGGACACGGACGACGAGGGCGCACAUGACGCCCCUCGGAGCGCCCCCGCCCACGGCUUUGCUCACUCGCCCUUCAUGGGGCCUGGCCUGCCCAUGGGCGGGACUCCUCUCAUGGGCGCUAUGGGCACGGCGGGCGCCAUGGGCACGGCGGGCAUCAUGGGCACCGCGGGCGCUAUGGGCCCUGCAUUCCCCAUGGGUGCUAACGUAGGCGCCCCAGGGAGCAUGAGGAUGGGCGCGGGAUCGGGCGGCCAGUCUGGCGCAGGAGCUAGUCCUACGGGAAUGGGGAUGGGAAUGGCAAUGGGAAUGGGGAUGGGAAUGGCUACUGGCAUGGGAAUGAGCAUGGGCGCCUCUAGCCACGCGCCCAUGUACCAGGCUUCCCAUGGUGGAGGACUACCCACGAGCGGCUACCCGGGACUACCCAUCACCGCCGGACUGUCUCGAGAACGACUCAUGUCUGUGGGAGAGCUGCGGUAUGAUCUCCCCCUGGAGGUCUACCAACACCUUCUGCGGAGCAACCUCCUGAACUGGAGCAAUCAGGACUUCACAGAGGAAGACGAGGACGAGUACGACUCGUGCGAGCACCUGGAGAUGGACGGCAGCCGGACGAGGAGCGUGGGGGCGCAGACGGACCCGCACCUUGACAUGAGUGUCCAGACCGACGACGAUGCGACGGCCGAGGAUAUGGUCAAGGUGGGAGCGGAGUCUCGCAGCGUCACGGAGGCCAACGCUGCCGCCGCACAAGCAGAGGCAAGGGCGCAAGCAAUGGCCAAGGCUCAAGCAGAGGCACAGGCUCACCAGCAGACGCAAGGGAGCGCCCAGGUUCCCGAGACGCCACCCGUUUCAGAACCAAGUGGCAGUAGCACGUCUAUGCUGAAGAAGCUGUGGCAGAGGCGAGAGAGUGCGGCCGGAGGCGGCGUCAUCAAGGGCGACGCGCUGCAGCAGGAAGGAGGCGCGAGGAAGCAAGCCUCCGAGAAGGACAAGGAAGCCCCGCCUCCCAAAGGCGUCGUGGCCGCCAAGCGCAUGUGGGCGGAAAAGGCAGCUGCUUCAGGAGGAACGCCGAUAACGCCGCCAGGAACCAAACCCAAGCAAGAGAAAGUUCAAGAAAAAAGCAAACUGAAGUCUGUGUUCAAGUUAGGACUGAAGUGCGAUGUGGAUCAGCAGGGAGGCUCCUCGAAAAAGUCAGUCGAAAAGACCAAAGUGGAUAAAUUCAAGACCGUGAAUUACGAUAAGACGCUGCGGAAUAUUAAGUCGAAGUGGGUGCCGAACCCAGAAGACGAGGAACUCCUCAGACAAUACCGGAUGAAACACAAGGAAGAGAAGGAGAAAGAAAAGGAGGAGAAGAAGAAAGUAAAGAAGAAGGCAAAGGGCAUCCAGGUGGGCGACCCGCUGCCGCAGUUCAUCCUCGCUGGGUUCCGCAUCAGCUCGCCCGUCGAGAUCAUCCACCAGCGACGGCGGUCCAGGCGUCGAAUCUCCAAGGCUGAUUCCAGUGACUUCUCCGGCAGCGAGUGCUCGAUGCCGACGUCGCCGCGAUACUCCAUCACGGUCACGGACGACCAGGGUUCCCGCGACAUGCUAGUGUCAGAGGCCGAGGCCUUCAGACUAUGCCAGAUGGGCGGCCACAUCACCUUUAAGCGAUCCAGCAUCGAUGCCUCCGUGGACACGAGUGAAUUCGAGGCUGAGGGCGCGGCGGGAGGCAUUCCGCCGUUCCAGCGUUCCAUAUCGGCCCUUCAGGCGUCCGGACACUUGUCGCAGAUGAUGUACAACAUCCGAGGUCGACCCUCGCAUCCACAGAUUAACCCGUGCGCGGGCGCGGCCCCCGGACAGGGCGGCCACCGAGGCAGCCAAGGACUACUGCAGUCUUUUCUCCCCGCAGUGAUGCAGAGGUCGAGGGCGAGCGGGAGCGGGCACACCUCCAGACUCGUGGCCAAGAAGAUCUGGCGAGCUAGAUCCAAGAGCCAGUCCCGCGCCUCCGCAGGGACCACUUCCAUCUGGACCCCCAUGGGCGGCAACACCUGGAGUUCCGUGACGGGUCGCGUGGUGAGCCUCGAGAGCUCUUCCCUCCUGCACUUCACGGAGAUCGAGCGACUAACACUCCAACAGCUGGCCAUUGCGAAGCUCCAAGCUCUCAACCUCGGCUGUCAGAUCCGCGUUCCGAGAGAGUGUGCUGACGACAGGCUGAGAGGCAACGAGAUCGUACCGGACUCCAGCAAGUUGGAGCAAGCGAAUGCCAGCGGCCAGAAGAAAAGACGACCGUACCUUCUCAAGAGGAAGGCUCUCACCACCGGAUUCUUCGAUUCCAAGAAGGAGGAGGCGAAGGAUGGCGUGGCAAGUGGACAGGUGUUUGGGCUGUCCCUCAGCAAGUGUCUGGAGAACGAGAAGAGCCGCAUCAGGGAGGCAGCAGAGAGAGCAGCAGCGGCAGCGGCAGCAGCAGCAGCGACUCCAGUCUCGAGUGUGGGGGAAGAUGGCGAAGCUCCCUCGAGUCGGAAGUCGUCCCAUGCUGGCUCUCAGGCCUCGUUCUCUUCUCUUAUUGAAGGAACCAAACAGUCAACCACUGGUUCGUUGGAGAGCCUGAAUCUGGAGCGGAAACGGCCGAGUCUCGUGGGAGGCGACCUGCUCCCCCCAGGGACUACCAUGCCAGAUCUCCUCACAGUGGAACCCAGCCCUCAAAUUCCCAGCCUCGUCAACAAGUGCUUGAAACACCUCGAGACGAAUGGCAUGCACACACUCGGUAUUUUCAGGGUGUCCUCCUCCAAGAAGCGGGUUCGGCAAUUGCGGGAGGAAUUUGAUACCGGACAAGAGGUGUGGCUAAAUGAGGAAUGCUGUCCACAUGACGUGGCUACACUCCUUAAAGAAUUCUUCAGGGACCUUCCAGAACCACUACUGACCCGAGAAUUAUAUGAACCCUUAAUAAAAACACAGAAAAUCCGCAACCGUAAGCUACAGUUCGAGGCCUUGCAGCACCUGAUUCAACUCCUUCCAGUACCCAACCGAGACACCCUUUACUCGCUUCUCAAUUUCUUGGCUACUGUUGCUGAGAACUCAGUUGACCAUCACACAAACACGGGUGAGACUUUACAAGGGAACAAGAUGGACAGCAGUAACUUGGCUACGCUCUUUGCCCCCAACAUCCUCCACAUGGUGAAGCCAGGAACAGAAACCAUGUCCACAUCAGACAUGGCAACCCACGCAGAGGAGCGAAUAGAUGUUAUAAAUGUAAUCAGAAGUAUGAUUGACCACAACAAGGAGCUGUUCCAGGUCUCAGCAGAGCUCCUUGAUGAGACCUACCAGCACCUGAUGGACACGCAUCCUGAGGCCUUGGACCUUUUGCUGCGCCGUCGCUGCACAGGACCAGAUGAUCGUGGUCAGCACCUACAGGAGCUGUUAGCAAGCUUAUUGGCACCUCAUCGGCCUCAGAGCUGUCCCUCCACUGUGUUGGACCUUGAUGUGGAGACGAGCAGCAGUGUGUUCGAAGGCAGCGAGUGCUCCUCUUCUCUGCCACGCUCCCCCACCGACCUAACACAUCACCACGACUUUGAUCGGUUGCGCAUGAGCAUAGAGGAGGGUGAGGGGAUGCGCAUGCUACGGAGAGAGGAGGUCGUCCAUGAAGGUGCUGCUGUCGCUCCCAUGCAACAGUCAGGCAGAAGAAACUAGGAGAGAUAGACCUCAGGUUACUUAAAAGAAGACAAUUUAAAAUUGAUGUUGAGUAAACAGCUGAUCAUUGUAAAGAAAAAGGAACCAUCAGGAUGCUCUGCAGAUAGAAAUGGCGAAGAAUAAAAAGUGUAGCAAAGAAGAUACCCCGACGAGGAGGAAGACGGGCGCGGGCGACGGCGAGACAAAGCCGCGGAAGUGCCGGUUUCCUCGGCGAGCGAAGAGCGAGGCUGGUUCAGGAAGCGCGAGAAGAGCUCCUCUCGAGAGCUGGACCG